AGAUGUUCCACGCGCUUACCUGGAUGGGCCACCUCAAACUGGGACCCAAGUACUGCCAUGCAGCAGGAGAUGGCUGAGCACCACACCAGCCCUGAUCCUCAACAGGGCCACGCUCAGCGUGUGUGAGGGACUGAGCAUGAGGAGCUGUGCGUGAGGUGCUGGUACGGGGGGCCGGUACUGGAAGUCAGGGUCAGCAGGGAAGUACAGAUUGGCAACUCAGCUGACAGAGAUCAUCAAAAGAAUCAUGGGGAUUUACCUUCAUUAGACUGAAGCAUGUUGGACCUAUGGCCAAUAUGGAAAUGGGAAAUGACCUUGGAUCUAUGGAGAAACAUGGAGAAAAUGUGAGUUUGCAAUCAUAUCUCCAUAGCCAGGCCAGGACAGAAGAGCUGAGUGCACAGGUCUUAACAGUAGCUACUGCCCCCCAGUUAUGAAAAUAUUUCACACAGCAUUAAUAAGCCUACAUUUGAAAUGCAUCAUGCAUUUAAUUUGCAUGAAAUCUUUAGUUGUGUGUUACUGUCAUUUAGCAAUGGGCUUUCCAUCCAGUUUCUGCUGUGCCAGCUUCAAUAGUAAUUUGAGAUUAUUUGCCUUAAGAAGCUCCAUUAUACUGAUGUCCUUUCAAAGCUGUACCUCUGCCUUGUGUUCUACAUUCCCAGCCUGCCAUGACCGCAGUAUGGAUGGAUGGGUGGAUGGACUCUAAGCUUUUGCUUUCCCUUUAAACUGUGCUGACACAUGCAGGGUACUCUCUGGCUUUAAGUGCUUUGGCUUGGGGUCAGGGAAGCCUGCAUUUCCACCUGGAUGCAUCUGGUAUUGCCUGGCCUUGACCGUUUCCCUCUGUACCUUUAUGCUAAUUUGAUUUUGGGGCGCAAAUGUGACUCCCAUGUGACAUUAUUGUCAAAAAAAGUCCAUGAGAGCCGACAGUAUAGUGUUUUAGGGCUGUGUUUCUCAGUCCUCGGUGACCCAUACACAGUCCUCAUGUCUGCUCCUUCUCAGCUCCUUGUAACAGGUGUUUGGUGUUUUUGAUUGGCUGGGAACUCAAAGGAAUCAAAAUGUGGACCAUGUGGGGGUUUCCGAGGACUGGGUUGAGAAACACUGGUUCUGGAGGUAACCUGAAGGUUGUUGGUUUGAAUUCUGGAGUUAGAAUCAUAGUAUUGAACUGUGUGUAAUAACUGGCAAAUGUAAAGUAAAGGCCUAGUCUAUCAACUAGGGCUAGGCAAUUAAUCAGAUUUUAAUUUCAGUUAUGACUUUGGCUUCCAACGAUAAUCAAAACAAAAUAAUCAAGAUGAAACAAUUAUUGUGCCUCAUUUGUGUUACAAAUCCAGGGCACCCCCUUCCAACCCCUUUAUAUUUGCUUCUCAUUUGAAUUAUAUUUACAGUUCAAGGAAAACCACUGUUAAAUAGACAGUUUUUUUUUAUUUCCAGAAAUGCCUGAUGUUUCCAAAGCCAAUGAGUAAUUGUGUUAAAUAAUUGUGAUUUCAGUAUUGGCCAAACUAAUUGUGUGAUUAUGAUUUUUAUCAAAAUCGAGCAGCCCUACUAUCAACCAUCU